rnacentral:rRNA from 1 species
GAUGAACGCUGGCGGCGUGCCUAAUACAUGCAAGUCGAGCGAACGUCAUAGAAGCUUGCUUCUAUGACGUUAGCGGCGGACGGGUGAGUAACACGUGGGCAACCUGCCUGUAAGACUGGGAUAACUUCGGGAAACCGAAGCUAAUACCGGAUAGGAUCUUCUCCUUCAUGGGAGAUGCUUGAAAGAUGGUUUCGGCUAUCACUUACAGAUGGGCCCGCGGUGCAUUAGCUAGUUGGUGAGGUAACGGCUCACCAAGGCAACGAUGCAUAGCCGACUUGAGAGGGUGAUCGGCACCAAUGGAACUGAGACACGGCCGAGACUCCUACGGGAGGCAGCAGUAGGGAAUCUUCCGCAAUGGACGAAAGACUGACGUAGCAACGCCGCGUGAGUGAUGAAGGCUUUCGGGUCGUAAAACUCUGUUGUUAGGGAAGAACAAGUACGAGAGUAACUGCUCGUACCUUGACGGUACCUAACCAGAAAGCCACGGCUAACUACGUGCCAGCCGCCGCCGUAA